CUGAUGUUAGCGGCGGACGGGUGAGUAACACGUGGGUAACCUACCUAUAAGACUGGGAUAACUCCGGGAAACCGGGGGCUAAUACCGGAUAAUAUUUUGAACCGCAUGGUUCAAUAGUGAAAGACGGUCUCGGCUGUCACUUAUAGAUGGACCCGCGCCGUAUUAGCUAGUUGGUAAGGUAACGGCUUACCAAGGCGACGAUACGUAGCCGACCUGAGAGGGUGAUCGGCCACACUGGAACUGAGACACGGUCCAGACUCCUACGGGAGGCAGCAGCG
rnacentral:rRNA from 1 species